rnacentral:rRNA from 1 species
AGUGAACGCUGGCGGUAGGCCUAACACAUGCAAGUCGAACGGCAGCACAGUAAUAGCUUGCUCUUACGGGUGGCGAGUGGCGGACGGGUGAGGAAUACAUCGGAAUCUACUUUUUCGUGGGGGAUAACGUAGGGAAACUUACGCUAAUACCGCAUACGACCUACGGGUGAAAGCAGGGGAUCUUCGGACCUUGCGCGAUUGAAUGAGCCGAUGUCGGAUUAGCUAGUUGGCGGGGUAAAGGCCCACCAAGGCGACGAUCCGUAGCUGGUCUGAGAGGAUGAUCAGCCACACUGGAACUGAGACACGGUCCAGACUCCUACGGGAGGCAGCAGUGGGGAAUAUUGGACCAUGGGCGCAAGCCUGAUCCAGCCAUACCGCGUGGGUGAAGAAGGCCUUCGGGUUGUAAAGCCCUUUUGUUGGGAAAGAAAAGCAGCAGGUUAAUACCCCGCUGUUCUGACGGUACCCAAAGAAUAAGCACCGGCUAACUUCGUG